CUCCACGCUGAUUGGUUGCCGUUGAGGUGAUUAUUACGCGAUAAUCACCUAAGCGAUUUUCAAAAUGGCGGCCGAAGCCGUUUUUUCAAUUAAAAGACGAAGAAAUGUGCAUUUUUAAUUUUUUUUUCCAAAUAAUCACCUAUGAAAUUAUACCAAAACAAUUAUUCACCUCAGGCUCGGUGAUUAUCGUGAAUAAAAACCUCGACUUCGUCUCGGUUUUUAUUCACCGAUAAUCACCUCGCCUUCGGCGAAUAAUUGUUAGAUAACAACUUAUAAGCCAUACAUUUUCCGAUAACGACAAAACGCUUGUGUAGCCUUCGGGCGCUCUCAGGGACUUAUAUUUUUUUUUGAAGGGGGGAAAAAUGGGGGAGGGAGGCAGAAAAUAA